rnacentral:lncRNA from 1 species
AUGAGAUAUGUGGAUGGGAACAUGUCUCCAGUCGAGGUGUUGAUGAAGGAAAUUCAGAAAUGCUCAGACAAAUGGAGCAAGCAGACACAUGAAUCCACGUCGCCCUGGCCUUCAGAGGGGACAUUUGAUCUGAGGCAGUGUGCAGAGAUGCAGGGUUUUAUAAAAACCUAUAAGAUAAAAGACAAAUCUGUAAAGCGAGGCCUUAAACGGGAAAAAGAAAAUGCAGUGUUGCAAUUGUUUAUUAACUGUGCAAAAAUGAUGGGCAAAAAGACGACUCAAUGUGGUGAUAAUCAAUUUAAUCAGAUCUCUAAAACUAAGUCUCUUUCAGAUGCAUCCCAGAUGAAUGCAGAAGAAACAAAACCUUUACGGACGAAGAAGCCAGUUCACCCUGUAGCUGAUCUAGAAGGGACAGACAGGGCAGUGAAAAGGGAUGAGUUGUUAGAACUGCCCGACAUUUAUUUAAAAACAGAGAAAAUCUCAAUUGGAAAUUCCUGCAGUGAAAGUGAUCUGCGUGACAGAGCAGUUAGAUCACUGUGGGCUGAGUCAGAUAAGGAAUCAGUGUGUGUGGGUGACGAACGGGUAAAUGAGGUUUCUGAUGGACUUCCUCUGCUGAUCAAAAGGGCAAAGUGUCAAAAUCUGCCCUGGCCUUCAAAACCGGAACAGAAUGAUCUGACUGACACUGUGGGACUUUGCAACUUGUCACUAGAACAAAUAACUAAGCAUGUGAUUCAUGCUGUUGAGCUGCGUCAGAAGCAGGCAAAGGAGGCAGUGAAAGAACCAACAUGCCAGCAGCAGCGAACAGAGGGGGAGAAAAGAGAGAGGAGGAUGGUCUCUGCUCAACCAGCCAGCGUGCCUCAGACCCCACCUACACCACCAGGCAUGGCCACACCUCAGGUGAUGUACAUUCUACCAGGAGGGUGGACAAGACGACCUCCUAUGAGGAGAGGAGGGUUCCCUGCAGACAAAGGCAGAGGAACGGGGCAGCCACAGAGGAGGCGUGAGAUGCUACUGCUGUGGGAAGACUGGUCACGUAAGAAGCCAUUGCUUUGA